rnacentral:rRNA from 1 species
UACGGAGGGGGCUAGCGUUGUUCGGAAUUACUGGGCGUAAAGCGCACGUAGGCGGCUUUGUAAGUUAGAGGUGAAAGCCCGGGGCUCAACUCCGGAAUUGCCUUUAAGACUGCAUCGCUAGAAUUGUGGAGAGGUAAGUGGAAUUCCGAGUGUAGAGGUGAAAUUCGUAGAUAUUCGCAAGAACACCAGUGGCGAAGGCGGCUCACUGGCCCGAUACUGACGCUGAGGCACGGAAAGCGUGGGGAGCAAACAGG